GACGAACCGUGCGAACGUUUAUUCGGAAUCACGUGGGCUUAAAGGGCGCGUAGGCGGGGUCGGUAAGUCAGGGGUGGAAAUCCCACGGCCCAACCGUGGAAGUGCCUCUGAUACUGCCGGCCUCGAGGGGGAUAGGGGCGUGCGGAACUCAGGGUGGAGCGGUGAAAUGCGUAGAUAUCCUGAGGACACCGGUGGCGAAAGCGGCGCGCUGGAUCCUUCUGACGCUGAGGCGCGAAA
rnacentral:rRNA from 1 species